rnacentral:rRNA from 1 species
UGGGGAAUUUUGGGCAAUGGCCGAAAGGCUGACCCAGCGACGCCGCGUGUGGGAGGAAGCCCUUCGGGGUGUAAACCACUGUCGGGAGGGACGAACGAGGGAGGCGGGAAUACUGCUUCUCUGUGACGGUACCUUCAAAGGAAGCGCCGGCUAACUCUGUGCCAGCAGCCGCGGUAAGACAGAGGGCGCGAGCGUUGUUCGGAAUUACUGGGCGUAAAGCGCGCGCAGGCGGAUCUGUACGUCUGUAAGUGAAAUCCCGCCGCUCAACGGCGGGGCUGCUUGGGAAACGGCAGGUCUGGGGACCGGUAGAGGUCGGUAGAAUUCCCGGUGUAGCGGUGGAAUGCGUAGAGAUCGGGAAGAAUACCCGUGGCGAAGGCGGCCGACUGGGCCGGAUCCGACGCUGAGGCGCGAAAGCGUGGGGAGCAAACAGGAUUAGAUACCCUGGUAGUCCACGCCGUAAACGAUGGGCACUAGGUGCCGGGGGGAGCGGACCCCCUCGGUGCCGCAGCUAACGCGUUAAGUGCCCCGCCU